GCCCCCAUCGUCUAGCGGCCUAGGACGUCGCCCUUUCACGGCGGUAACACGGGUUCGAAUCCCGUUGGGGGUGC
rnacentral:tRNA from 1 species